rnacentral:rRNA from 1 species
UACAGAGGGUGCGAGCGUUAAUCGGAAUUACUGGGCGUAAAGCGCGCGUAGGCGGCUUUGCAAGUCGGGUGUGAAAUCCCCAGGCCUAACCUGGGAACUGCACUCGAGACUGCAUGGCUAGAGUAUCGGAGAGGGAAGUGGAAUUUCAGGUGUAGCGGUGAAAUGCGUAGAUAUCUGAAGGAACAUCAGUGGCGAAAGCGAACUUCCUGGACGAAUACUGACGCUCAUGGUGCGAAAAGCGGUGGGGAGCAAACAGG